UACGUAGGGUCCGAGCGUUAAUCGGAAUUACUGGGCGUAAAGCGUGCGCAGGCGGUUUUGUAAGCCAGAUGUGAAAGCCCCCGGGCUCAACCUGGGAACUGCAUUUGGGGACUGCAAGGCUGGAGUACGGCAGAGGGAGGUGGAAUUCCACGUGUAGCAGUGAAAUGCGUAGAGAUGUGGAGGAACACCGGUGGCGAAGGCGACCAUCUGGACGAGAACUGACACUGAGGCGCGAAAGCGUGGGGAGCAAACAGG
rnacentral:rRNA from 1 species